GAUAACUGGCUUGUGGCAGCCAAGCGUUCAUAGCGGCGUUUUUUAAUCCUUCGAUGUCGGCUCUUCCUAUCAUUGAGACGCAGAAGUCUCAAAGUGUCGGAUUGUUCACCCGCCGAUAGGGAACGUGCGUUGUUGAGUCCCCCGUCCUGUCUAGGAGCAGCCUGUUUCAUUUCCGUUUGUUUGUUGAGAGGUU
rnacentral:ncRNA from 1 species